UCUUUUCUUCUUCUCGGGUCUUCGUUGGUGAUGUGAUCUUCAUCAUCAUCAUCAUCUCGUUCGUUCUCAAUUGUUGUGACUUCUUCGUCUUCUUCUAGGGUUUGGUGUUUGUUUCGGAAGAGAAUUUAUGAUCCCAAUCAUCGCUCAACGCUGCCCCCCCCCGCUUCGUCUUGAUCCGUCGCUGUCUAGGGAGGAAUUGAAGGAAUGGGAUCAGUAGUGUCUCUUGCUCCUUGGUGAUGCUAAUGUAAAGAUGACCGAGAGAUUACUGUCAUGGAUGAUGCUUUUAACUAUCAGUGAUGGCUUUGAGUGAUUGUCCUCAGGCAUUCUCAUGGGUUCAUGCUCUAAACACAUCUCUUAUAUUUGUUUUUGAAAGUUCACUUUGGUUCCUACUCAUUACAUGUAGCUAUUAACGAAUACAACUGCAUGGGAGCCCUUCCAUUGUAUAUCCCAGGAGAUUUUUGAUGCAGAUCAUCCAAAGCAAUUCUGACUUGUGGAGAGUUCUUCUUCUAGGGUUUGGUGUGUUAUUUUUGUAUGUGGAGGAUGCUAUGCUCGGUCGGUUAUGUAUCUGAUGGAUCGUUGUCUUCUCUGCGCUACAUCUUCAGACCGUCCAGGCACUGGGAUUAAUGUGUGGGAGGGUUCGAAGAGAGAAACAUCAGGCUAACACAGUAAUGUCCCUGAUCUUCCUAGUGAGCUAACAUCUACGUUGGAUCUUCAAAUCGUAACAACAUCAAACUGAUUUUGAAGCCAUUUGUGGACAGAUUAUCCCAGUGCCCGAAGCAUGGUCUCCAUAAACCCCUUUCAAAUAUCCAGAGAGAUACGUUUUCUAUGGAGAUAUCUCGACAAAGGCAGCUCAGAUGCUCUCCUUACUUAAGGUUACACUUUUUUCAUUGAAUCAUGAUAGGUAAUCCAAAUAACGUGCAUACUGGUGAGGAAUCAAAAGUAAAGGUUGAUUUACUUGAUACUUACUACUUAACCUUUUUUUUUGCUUAGUUAGGGUUUAUUUGUUACUACUAAACCUUGUUUUACAGGAUUUGAUCUGCUUUUGUUCAUUCUUAGUUAGGGUCAGUUGUUUUGGUUUUAUUUUGCAGCCUAGGUAUGGUUAAGGAAACAGGUAUGGUUGAUUUUCGUGAGACUUGUGAACUGUAUAUGAUCGGUCUUGGAUCACGUGGAAAAUGCUAUGAAGAAGUUUGAUGAUGGUCCAUUCAUCCUCGGCGAGCAUAGGUUUUGUUUCUAACAGCUGAUUCAAAGACAUGAACAAAUGAGUUAAUAAGUCUGACGAAUUGGAAUUAAAAGAUAGGAGUUCUGGAUGAUGAUCCAUGUAAGAGGAUAGGAAGAGAUGGGAGCAGUGAAAGCUACGAGUAUCCUAAGAGAGAAGGCUUAGCUUGGUCACCGUUUAAUCUCGGUUCUGAUUUUGUAAGGUUUUCAACAGCUGAUUAAAAGAGUUAAUGGGUUUGAGGAAUCAGAAUUGAAAGAUAAGGCCUAACAAUAUGGUAGAGAGACUUUCACACCUAUUGCUCCUUGGUUUGCUUAGCUCUGUUGCAGAUAAGGAAGAGAUGAUGAUUCAUGGCUCUGUUGCAGAGAUGUUAUUGGUGUUUUUGCUGCAGGUUUUCAAGAGCUGAUUCAAAAGGAAUUUAUGGGUAUGUGGAAUCAGAAUUAAAAGGCUUGGCUUGGUCACUGUUUAAUCUCGGUUCUGAUUUUGUAAGGUUCGUCCAUCUCAAUGUAGCUACUUGGCACACGAACUCAUUGUUUGGUAUCAGGGACAAGAAGUUUCAAUGGUUUCUGGAUUAGGUGAAGGCACAUCCCAUAGAGCUCAUUGCCAGCUAGGUUCUCCCAUUACAAAGGUUAUUGUUAAUAUUCAUCCCACUGGAUUGUAAACUCCUGUUUGAGCUUUCCGGUCUCCACAUGCGCGUUACUAUAACAAUGUCUUCCAUGGCUGUAAUGACCAAACUGAUAUUGGUGUAUAGACGACGUAACGGUAACAUGCUGCUGAAUGGUUAAGGGAUUUCUCAUCAGCCACGAACAUGAUUAGGUGCAUUUAUCAGUUCUAGAUGCUCAUAGUGAGUCUUCCUUGAAUAAUAUUGUGGAGGGUUCAAGAACUGUUGGUGCAUUCAUAUGGACACCAUAUGACUUGAUGUCCAUAACACUCAGGCCCAUGAGUGCUGGAGCUUGUUGGAGCUCAUUGCCAUCUAAGCUCUGCCAUUACAAAGGUGGAUAUAUUCAGCGAUGAUGGGGUUCUUUGAUCAACUCCAAGGGCGAGGCUUUGUGGGUACAGAAGGUGUAUCUACGUAACGUGCAGAAUGGUUCAAGGUUUUCUCAUUCGCCAGAUCUUGAUUGAGGUGCUACUAUGAAAAGCUUCAUUAGUUUCUGGAUGAGGUGAAGGCACAAACCCAAAGAGCUGAAGGUUGUUGAAGCUCAUUGCCAUCUAGCUCUACCAUUACAAAGGUGCAUAUAUUCAGAGGUGAUGCAGUCUUCUGGUGAAAUUUAUUUGAUCAACUUCGGCGUCAAGGCUUUGAGGGUUACAGUGGUGUGUCUACCGAACAUGCGGGAUGGUUCAAGGUUUUUACAUUUGCCAGAUUUUGAUUGAGGUGCAUUUUCAAUGGAAAUGAGUAACUGUUGGAAGAUUUAGUUUA